rnacentral:rRNA from 1 species
UAUUGGUCAAUGGGCGGAAGCCUGAACCAGCCAAGUAGCGUGAAGGACGACUGCCCUAUGGGUUGUAAACUUCUUUUAUGCGGGGAUAAAGUUCGCCACGUGUGGCGUUUUGCAGGUACCGCAUGAAUAAGGACCGGCUAAUUCCGUGCCAGCAGCCGCGGUAAUACGGAAGGUCCAGGCGUUAUCCGGAUUCAUUGGGUUUAAAGGGAGCGUAGGCCGCCUUUUAAGCGUGUUGUGAAAUGUAGGGGCUCAACCCCUGCACUGCAGCGCGGACUGGAGGGCUUGAGUACACACAAAGUAGGCGGAAUUCAUGGUGUAGCGGUGAAAUGCUUAGAUAUCAUGAAGAACCCCGAUUGCGAAGGCAGCUUACUGGAGAGUAACUGACGCUGAAGCUCGAAAGCGCGGGUAUCGAACAGG